rnacentral:sRNA from 1 species
CCCAAAGUGCUGGGAUUAUGGGCGUGAGCUACCAUGCCCGGCCCACCUGUCUGGUGUUAACACCAUUCUGUUCUCUUCCAAGCUGUCUUGUCGAUGGUCUCACUGAUGCCUCUUCUGCAUUCAAAGUUCCUCGACCCGGGCCAGAUACACUCCAGUUCACAGUAGAUGUCUUCCACUUUGCUAAUGACUCCAGAAACAUGAUAUACAUCACCUGCCACCUGAAGGUCACCCUAGCUGAACAGGACCCAGAUGAACUCAACAAAGCCUGUUCCUUCAGCAAGCCUUCCAACAGCUGGUUCCCAGUGGAAGGCCCGGCUGACAUCUGUCAAUGCUGUAACAAAGGUGACUGUGGCACUCCAAGCCAUUCCAGGAGGCAGCCCCAUGUCGUGAGCCAGUGGUCCAGGUCUGCUUCCCGUAACCGCAGGCAUGUGACAGAAGAAGCAGAUGUCACCGUGGGGCCACUGAUCUUCCUGGACAGGAGUGGUGACUAUGAAGUAGAGCAGUGGGCCUUGCCUUCUGACACCUCAGUGGUGCUGCUGGGUAUAGGCCUGGCCGUGGUGGCAUCCCUGACUCUGACUGCUGUUAUCCUGGUUCUCACCAGGAGGUGUCGCACUGCCUCCCGCCCUGUGUCUGCUUCCGAAUAAAAGAAGAAAGCAAUA